rnacentral:rRNA from 1 species
CUAUACUGCAAGUCGAACGCACAGCGAAAGGUGCUUGCACCUUUCAAGUGAGUGGCGAACGGGUGAGUAACACGUGGACAACCUGCCUCAAGGCUGGGGAUAACAUUUGGAAACAGAUGCUAAUACCGAAUAAAACUUAGUGUCGCAUGACACAAAGUUAAAAGGCGCUUCGGCGUCACCUAGAGAUGGAUCCGCGGUGCAUUAGUUAGUUGGUGGGGUAAAGGCCUACCAAGACAAUGAUGCAUAGCCGAGUUGAGAGACUGAUCGGCCACAUUGGGACUGAGACACGGCCCAAACUCCUACGGGAGGCUGCAGUAGGGAAUCUUCCACAAUGGGCGAAAGCCUGAUGGAGCAACGCCGCGUGUGUGAUGAAGGCUUUCGGGUCGUAAAGCACUGUUGUAUGGGAAGAACAGCUAGAAUAGGAAAUGAUUUUAGUUUGACGGUACCAUACCAGAAAGGGACGGCUAAAUACGUGCCAGCAGCCGCGGUAAUACGUAUGUCCCGAGCGUUAUCCGGAUUUAUUGGGCGUAAAGCGAGCGCAGACGGUUUAUUAAGUCUGAUGUGAAAGCCCGGAGCUCAACUCCGGAAUGGCAUUGGAAACUGGUUAACUUGAGUGCAGUAGAGGUAAGUGGAACUCCAUGUGUAGCGGUGGAAUGCGUAGAUAUAUGGAAGAACACCAGUGGCGAAGGCGGCUUACUGGACUGCAACUGACGUUGAGGCUCGAAAGUGUGGGUAGCAAACAGGAUUAGAUACCCUGGUAGUCCACACCGUAAACGAUGAACACUAGG